GACGAACGCUGGCGGCGUGCUUAACACAUGCAAGUCGAGCGGAAAGGCCACUUCGGUGGUACUCGAGCGGCGAACGGGUGAGUAACACGUGAGUAAUCUGCCCUUCACUUCGGGAUAGCUUCGGGAAACCGAGAUUAAUACCGGAUACGACCAACCUACGCAUGUGGUGUUGGUGGAAAGUUUUUUCGGUGGGGGAUGUGCUCGCGGCCUAUCAGCUUGUUGGUGGGGUAAUGGCCUACCAAGGCUUCGACGGGUAGCCGGCCUGAGAGGGUGACCGGCCACACUGGGACUGAGACACGGCCCAGACUCCUACGGGAGGCAGCAGUGGGGAAUAUUGGACAAUGGGCGGAAGCCUGAUCCAGCAACGCCGCGUGAGGGAUGACGGCCUUCGGGUUGUAAACCUCUUUCAGCACAGACGAAGCCUUGUCUUUUUGGGUGGGGUGACGGUAUGUGCAGAAGAAGCACCGGCCAACUACGUGCCAGCCGCCGCAGUAACAC
rnacentral:rRNA from 1 species